rnacentral:rRNA from 1 species
GCCUUAGGUCGACCCGCUGAAUUUAAGCAUAUCACUAAGCGGAGGAAAAGAAACUAACCAGGAUUCCCCUAGUAACGGCGAGUGAAGAGGGAAAAGCCCAGCACCGAAGCCUGCGGCAGAUUUGCUGUUAGGCAAUGUGGUGUUUGGGUCGGCUAGCGGGAUUGCCACUCCACUCGAAGUCCAGCAUUGAGUAUGGUCACUGGAAUUGGCCCAGAGAGGGUGAAAGGCCCGUACGGGUGGAGUAUCAGACAUGUAAGGCAAUUCACCAGGCCGGCCUUAGAGUCGGGUUGUUUGAGAAUGCAGCCCAAAGAGGGUGGUAAACUCCAUCCAAGGCUAAAUACAAGCACGAGUCCGAUAGCGAACAAGUACCGUGAGGGAAAGUUGAAAAGUACUUUGAAGAGAGAGUAAACAGUACGUGAAACCGCAUGCAGGUAAACGGGUGGCGUCAAGCUGCGAACCCAGAGGAUUCAGCUGGCUAGGAUGUUGUGGUGCGCCUGGCGCAUCCAUCAGUCGGAAUAAGAUGUGAUAGUCCACUGGGAGACGGUGGGCCCGGCCGCAAGGUUGGGAUAUGUGUACCGGGUGUUAGCCGGAGCAUGCUAUUCAUCUGUUGGGCUGUCUAGUCAGUGCACUUUCUCUGUGGUGAACACCACGACCGGUGGAAUUGCCAGUCUGCUGUAGUCAAGUCUUGCUGAGUGGGUCCUUGUGGCUGACUUGGUGAGAUCACAGGCAAUGUCAGUGUACGGCGUAGGAGUGCCUUUGGUGUUCCUACGUGUUAUCGGGUACUGCUUGUCAUCGGGCUUGCUCGGUGGUUAUUGUAACUACCGCUGGGUGGUCUGGUGGGCUAUGGUGGUAAUAAAAACUGUGCAAGGCACCGGAGAUGUCGGCCUCAAAAGCGCUCUGCACUGGCAUGUUACAAGUGCGUGGGGGUGCCGUUGCGGUCUGCCUGUUGUUGAGUCUGAUUGUCGUGUCGCCUGCGCAAAGUGGGCCCGGCAGUGGCUUGAUGCGGGAUGGGCUGUGGAUGGUAUUUCUCAGGUGUGGAGUGCGGUGGGCCCAAUAGUCAGUGGUGCUGUGGUAGACGAGCUACCCGACCCGUCUUGAAACACGGACCAAGGAGUUUAACAUGUAUGCGAGUCAAGGGGUCCUACGAAACCCAAAGGCGCAGUGAAAGUAAAGCUUCGACUUGUUCUCGGAGUGAGGUGAGAUCCUGCCGUAACUCGCAUCGCCUGGUGCCAGCAUCAGGCAAAGAGCGGUAGGCGCAUCACCGGCCCGUCCCAUGAUGUGGUCAUUGGAUGUCUGCGGUCGUUGCUUGCGGCGGUCGUGGUGCCAGUGCGUCAUCGGGGCGGAGCAUGAGCAUACAUGUUGAGACCCGAAAGAUGGUGAACUAUGC